rnacentral:rRNA from 1 species
ACGAUAUGCUUUGGGGAGCUGUAAGUAAGCUUUGAUCCAGAGAUUUCCGAAUGGGGAAACCCAGCAUGAGUUAUGUCAUGUUAUCGAUAUGUGAAUACAUAGCAUAUCAGAAGGCACACCCGGAGAACUGAAACAUCUUAGUACCCGGAGGAAGAGAAAGAAAAUUCGAUUCCCUUAGUAGCGGCGAGCGAAACGGGAAGAGCCCAAACCAACAAGCUUGCUUGUUGGGGUUGUAGGACACUCUAUACGGAGUUACAAAGGACGACAUUAGACGAAUCAUCUGGAAAGAUGAAUCAAAGAAGGUAAUAAUCCUGUAGUCGAAAAUGUUGUCUCUCUUGAGUGGAUCCUGAGUACGACGGAGCACGUGAAAUUCCGUCGGAAUCUGGGAGGACCAUCUCCUAAGGCUAAAUACUCUCUAGUGACCGAUAGUGAACCAGUACCGUGAGGGAAAGGUGAAAAGCACCCCGGAAGGGGAGUGAAAUAGAACCUGAAACCGUGUGCUUACAAGUAGUCAGAGCCCGUUAAUGGGUGAUGGCGUGCCUUUUGUAGAAUGAACCGGCGAGUUACGAUUUGAUGCAAGGUUAAGCAGUAAAUGUGGAGCCGUAGCGAAAGCGAGUCUGAAUAGGGCGUUUAGUAUUUGGUCGUAGACCCGAAACCAGGUGAUCUACCCUUGGUCAGGUUGAAGUUCAGGUAACACUGAAUGGAGGACCGAACCGACUUACGUUGAAAAGUGAGCGGAUGAACUGAGGGUAGCGGAGAAAUUCCAAUCGAACCUGGAGAUAGCUGGUUCUCUCCGAAAUAGCUUUAGGGCUAGCCUCAAGUGAUGAUUAUUGGAGGUAGAGCACUGUUUGGACGAGGGGCCCCUCUCGGGUUACCGAAUUCAGACAAACUCCGAAUGCCAAUUAAUUUAACUUGGGAGUCAGAACAUGGGUGAUAAGGUCCGUGUUCGAAAGGGAAACAGCCCAGACCACCAGCUAAGGUCCCAAAAUAUAUGUUAAGUGGAAAAGGAUGUGGCGUUGCCCAGACAACUAGGAUGUUGGCUUAGAAGCAGCCAUCAUUUAAAGAGUGCGUAAUAGCUCACUAGUCGAGUGACACUGCGCCGAAAAUGUACCGGGGCUAAACAUAUUACCGAAGCUGUGGAUUGUCCUUUGGACAAUGGUAGGAGAGCGUUCUAAGGGCGUUGAAGCAUGAUCGUAAGGACAUGUGGAGCGCUUAGAAGUGAGAAUGCCGGUGUGAGUAGCGAAAGACGGGUGAGAAUCCCGUCCACCGAUUGACUAAGGUUUCCAGAGGAAGGCUCGUCCGCUCUGGGUUAGUCGGGUCCUAAGCUGAGGCCGACAGGCGUAGGCGAUGGAUAACAGGUUGAUAUUCCUGUACCACCUAUAAUCGUUUUAAUCGAUGGGGGGACGCAGUAGGAUAGGCGAAGCGUGCGAUUGGAUUGCACGUCUAAGCAGUAAGGCUGAGUAUUAGGCAAAUCCGGUACUCGUUAAGGCUGAGCUGUGAUGGGGAGAAGACAUUGUGUCUUCGAGUCGUUGAUUUCACACUGCCGAGAAAAGCCUCUAGAUAGAAAAUAGGUGCCCGUACCGCAAACCGACACAGGUAGUCAAGAUGAGAAUUCUAAGGUGAGCGAGCGAACUCUCGUUAAGGAACUCGGCAAAAUGACCCCGUAACUUCGGGAGAAGGGGUGCUCUUUAGGGUUAACGCCCAGAAGAGCCGCAGUGAAUAGGCCCAAGCGACUGUUUAUCAAAAACACAGGUCUCUGCUAAACCGUAAGGUGAUGUAUAGGGGCUGACGCCUGCCCGGUGCUGGAAGGUUAAGAGGAGUGGUUAGCUUCUGCGAAGCUACGAAUCGAAGCCCCAGUAAACGGCGGCCGUAACUAUAACGGUCCUAAGGUAGCGAAAUUCCUUGUCGGGUAAGUUCCGACCCGCACGAAAGGCGUAACGAUUUGG